GUUGGAAACAGUGGCUAAGACUGGAUAGGAAGAAAUAAGGCAUCUUAUUUCUUUUAAAAGACCUAGUAAUAGGUAUACUUUAGGAGGGGCUUGCGCCAUAUUAGUUAGUUGGUAGGGUAAUGGCCUACCAAGACGAUGAUGUGUAGCUGGACUGAGAGGUUGAACAGCCACAUUGGGACUGAGACACGGCCCAAACUCCUACGGGAGGCAGCAGUAAGGAAUUUUCGGCAAUGGAGGAAACUCUGACCGAGCAACGCCGCGUGAACGACGAAGUACUUUGGUAUGUAAAGUUCUUUUAUCAAGGAAGAAAAGCAAGUGGCGAACCAUUUGUUUGCCGGUACUUGAUGAAUAAGCCCCGGCUAAUUAUGUGCCAGCAGCCGCGGUAAGACAUAAGGGGCAAGUGUUAUCCGGAAUUAUUGGGCGUAAAGGGUGCGUAGGCGGUCUAGUAAGUCAGUGGUGUAAUGGCAACGCUCAACGUUGUCCGGCUAUUGAAACUGCUAAACUUGAGUUAGAUAGAGGCGAGUGGAAUUCCAUGUGUAGCGGUAAAAUGCGUAAAUAUAUGGAGGAACACCAGAGGCGUAGGCGGCUCGCUGGGUCUUAACUGACGCUGAGGCACGAAAGCGUGGGGAGCAAACAGGAUUAGAUACCCUGGUAGUCCACGCCGUAAACGAUGAGUACUAAGUGUCGGGUUAAACCGGUACUGAAGUUAACACAUUAAGUACUCCGCCUGAGUAGUACGUACGCAAGUAUGAAACUUAAAGGAAUUGACGGGACUCCGCACAAGCGGUGGAUCAUGUUGUUUAAUUCGAAGAUACCCGAAAAACCUUACCAGGUCUUGACAUGUUUUUGCGAAACGGUAGUAAUAUCGUAGAGGUUAUCAGAAACACAGGUGGUGCAUGGUUGUCGUCAGCUCGUGUCGUGAGAUGUUAGGUUAAGUCCUAAAACGAGCGAAACCCUUAUCGUUAGUUGCCAGCACGUUAUGGUGGGGACUUUAACGAGACUGCCAGUGAUAAACUGGAGGAAGGUGAGGAUCACGUCAAAUCAGCAUGCCCCUUAUGACCUGGGCUACAAACGUGAUACAAUGGCUGUUACAAAGGGUAGCUGAAACGUAAGUUCUUGGCCAAUCCCCAAAAACAGUCUCAGUCCGGAUUGAAGUCUGCAACUCGACUUCAUGAAGUUGGAAUCGCUAGUAAUCGCGAAUCAGCAUGUCGCGGUGAAUACGUUCUCGGGGUUUGUACACACCGCCCGUCAAA
rnacentral:rRNA from 1 species